AGUUUGGAAAUUUUGGCAGUUUUUUUGCCCGGUCUGUGGCAAUUUGCUAUUAAUGAAAUGGUCACACUGUACAGUGCUGUCAUUUUUAUGGCUGUAUCUAUGGUAUCUCAUUUUUGCAUUCCACCAAAAUAAAGCACUCCACUUCUGAAAUAAAAUGGUCUCUUUACUUUUUUCUAAUAAUCUUAGCCUAUUAAGUCUAUAUGGACGAUAUUUUAUUUACCAGAUCAGACUCUGUUACUCGUGGCAAUAAAACUUUUGAAUAGUACUUUGAGUAACAGUUAAUAUUUUAAAGGAGACAAUGGCUCCCACAGUAAUCUUUGAUGAUGAAAACAUUAAUCCUGUACCAGAAGAAUGUCUCACUUCUGAAGUUUAUAAAAUAAGUUAACAAAAUGCGUUUGACGAAAAUAUUGCUAAGUUAUUAAAAGAGAAAAAUUGGCUCACUGCAGUACUAAAUCAUGUUGCCGGGUUCAGACACCUACAACAAUACUGACACGAAUGCUUGAAUUUCCACCAGAGUGAUAAUAAAAAUUAUUUGUAUUAUUUUUAUCCAUACUAAGGGUUAGGUUAGUAGGUUUCUUGACAGUCUGCGGGGAAAGCAUUUUAUGAUUUGCAAAUGUUUAUUCUAUUGCUUAUGAUACUGAUAUAUACUCGUAUUAUAUGCGAUACGAUGGAGAAGGGAUGUUUUGUACGAUGUAUUGAUUGACAGAAUUUAUAACUGCUGUUUUAAAUAUAUGAAUACAAACUUUUUGGAGUUAUUUUAUAAUGUAUUCUGUUGGAUAGUUUUAAAUUUUAUACACAAUACAUCACAUCACAUUAGAAACCUUUAAAAUUAUCAGUGUUUCUAUACUAUAUUAUGCAUGUAUUAUACAUAUAAACCUUCCUCUUGAAUUACUCUAUCUAUUAAAAAACCGCUUCAAAAUCCGUUGCGUACUUUUAAAGAUUUAAGCAUACAUAGGGACGGACAGACAGCGACUUUGUUUUAUACUAUGUAGUGAUACUAGCAUAAGAAUAAUUUAUUAAUAGGAUACUAGUUUAUAAUUGUUUAUAAUAAAAAAAUAGCCAUAGUAUUAUAUAAAAAUAUUGUUGAGUAGGUAUUCGUAUUAUCAUGCUAUGUUACGGAAGCGUUUUCACAAUUUCUUAAUAUUUCUUAAAUGGCUUUGGAAAAUAUUUACAAUUUUUUUUUUAUAAAGUCAGAUCAAAUAAUCUUAACAUAGAGGAUUUUGUACAAAUUUAAUCACAGAACAUACAUUAUUAUUACUCCAUAAAAAUUCUAUUAUUACUCAUUACAACAAUUAUAGGUCAUAUUUUCUCUAAAAAAUCUUUUAAUAAUCUUGAUUACAUUGUUAAUAAAUUUUGAUGCACAAAGCUGUAUCACAAAAAGAAACAAACUUAUAUACAGCUCACCUAUCGUAGAAUACUUAUUGUCAGCUUCUUUAUUGACAGUUUCACAAGUAUAAAUUGUUCAUUUAAUUUCAGAAGCUGCCCCCAUAGAGUUUGUUAGACAAUUUAAACCAUAGCAAUGUCUACGUUGUGGAAUUUGUAAAAUAAGGUAUUUCAAAUUCUUUAUUCGAUUUUUAAUUAUAUUGUUUGUUUCAAUAGAACAUAAUGACAAUAUAAACAAAGGAAUAGUUGAACCUACAAUAUCACAGUUUGCUGAAGUCCGUCAGUUUUCACAAUUCUUGAUUAUAUUUUUAUACUACUAAAGUAUUAUAGUCUACUAAAGUAUUUAGUAUAUUUUUUAUUAAUUUAAUUACAUAUUAUACAGACUGUAAGGGACAUGCUGGCAAAAACUGAAACUGAAAUCAGAUCAUUAUUCCGAACUGAAAACCAAUGGAAAUUCUUAUGUAAUCUAUGAUAUUUUAUCAUAAUAUAAAGAAAUAAUAAUAUUUUUAGUGAAAUACCAAAAAAAAGCAAUGUAUUAUUCGUAUUAAAAUUCUACACCGAGAUUCACGGAAUCAGAGGGCCUACCAUGAAAUAUUUUUCGAAAUUUCGGGGACUAACGAAAUAGAAAUUUGAUGUUAAAAUUACAUAAUACAUGCCGUUUAAAAUUUUAAAAAUGUUAAAAUAUCGUUCCUCUGGACUGUUACGAUAGGAUUUAUGAUGAAUGAAAUGUUAAGCUCCAUUUACUGGGUCUAUUUCGUAACGAACAAAAACACGAAAUUGAGUCCGAAAAUUCGAAUAUCAUUUCAUGGUAGACCACCAGCUGUUUGAGAUCAACGCCACAGACGUACGAAAAAUACUGAAGGAGAAGCGGCCAUUGUGGGUAUUCAUCUGAAUCACCUGUUUUCGUUAUGGCCAACCUGUCCCUUCCACCCUGUAGAUUGAUUAAGAGAUUGAUAUGUUGAGUAUAAGAAUAAUAUAAAUAAGUGAAUUUUGUUUUAUAUUGUGUAAUAAUGUGUUUUUAUAUAAUAGUUAUAUGUAUGUGUUGAAUUAUAUGUGUAUUAAUUAUUACAUCGCAUAAAAAUUUAAAUAAAAAUAUGU